GACGGACGCUGGCGGCGUGCCUAAUACAUGCAAGUAGAACGCCGAAGGAGGAGCUUGCUCUUCUGGAUGAGUUGCGAACGGGUGAGUAACGCGUAGGUAACCUGCCUGGUAGCGGGGGAUAACUAUUGGAAACGAUAGCUAAUACCGCAUAACAGUAGAUGUUGCAUGACAUUUACUUAAAAGGUGCAAUUGCAUCACUACCAGAUGGACCUGCGUUGUAUUAGCUAGUUGGUGGGGUAACGGCUCACCAAGGCGACGAUACAUAGCCGACCUGAGAGGGUGAUCGGCCACACUGGGACUGAGACACGGCCCAGACUCCUACGGGAGGCAGCAGUAGGGAAUCUUCGGCAAUGGACGGAAGUCUGACCGAGCAACGCCGCGUGAGUGAAGAAGGUUUUCGGAUCGUAAAGCUCUGUUGUAAGAGAAGAACGAGUGUGAGAGUGGGAAGUUCACACUGUGACGGUAUCUUACCAGAAAGGGACGGCUAACUACGUG
rnacentral:rRNA from 1 species